GGCGCGGCGGCCGUGGGCGGUGGCCGCCUCGAACGCGGCCUGGAUCCCGGCCAGAUCCAGCCGGUGAUCCUCACCCAGCGGCGCCUC
rnacentral:tRNA from 1 species